GGGUCAGUAGGUUGGUCGUGCCACCGGUACGUACUGAUCUCACUAAUUCCUCCUUCCUGAAGAACCGUAAUGCCAUUAAUUUGGUGUUGCGGGGAAACAGGACUGUUACUUUGAAAAAAUUAGAGUGUUUAAAGCAAGCUAACGCUUGAAUACAUUAGCAUGGAAUAAUGAAAUAGGACGAUCGAUCCUAUUUUGUUGGUUUCUAGGAUUGACGUA
rnacentral:rRNA from 1 species